CCCUUAGAUGUUCUGGGCUGCACGCGCGCUACACUGAUGCAUGCAACGAGUUUUCGACCUUGCCUGAAAAGGUUGGGUAAUCUGUUUAACAUGUGUCGUGAUGGGGAUAGACCAUUGCAAUUAUUGAUCUUCAACGAGGAAUUCCUAGUAAGCGCGAGUCAUCAGCUCGUGCUGAUUAUGUCCCUGCCCUUUGUACACACCGCCCGUCGCUCCUACCGAUUGAGUGAUCCGGUGUAUGAUUCGGACCAGCGUGCUGCUCAGAUCCUGCGCAGUGUGCUGGGAAGUCUAGUGAACCUUAUCACUUAGAGGAAGGAGAAGUCGUAACA
rnacentral:rRNA from 1 species